ACGACGAACGGUAGGCUCAAGUGGACAUGUAGCAACAUGAAGUGCAACGAACAGUUCACAGACAAUUUGGUAGUCCAUUUGGUACCUUUUCAAAUGACAUCAAUUGCUCUAAAGUAGGGCAAUAACACAUCUCUUGAAUCCUUUGUCACAAGUUUGAAUAGGAGAUGAAUCAAAGGGAAGGCACAUUGUUUUGAGAGCAUCAGAAAAACAGUAAAGUGUCGUACCUCUCAACUGGGUGGCUAGAGCCAGUGUAUGUAAUUUUCGAAUGAAUUUAAACCGUUCAAACGUUCAUUUCCGUCUCUUCUCGGAAAGCUACAAUCGAAAACACCACGGGCAUCGUCUACAUGCUGCUGGACCCAUCCGCCACCUGCCAGCCGUUGUUUGUGUCUAACGAAAAUCAUCUUUUUCCAUCCGCCCAACAGCUGUCAUUUCGGCGUCGGUUUUCAUCCUGACAAAUAGAAAACAAGGAUCACCUGCCUCUAGGCCGAGAGCAACGGGUAGGACCUGACCCCGCCGCCCGGUCCGACCGUCAGUUAUGGAAGACAUCGAUAGAAACCGAAAGAAAAGCAAUAUAUUUCUUUCGCUAUCCGCUCUACCCGCACAAUACACACCGAAUACGGCGAAGGUGUUCAUUGGAGUUGCAGCUGCUCCGCUAGACCGUAAGGCGGGGUCGAAUAUGAGGAUGGAUAUGUACCUAAUAUCCAGAUCUCCAUGAAUGUUAAACAAAAGUAGGAACAGUUGGUCUUUC